rnacentral:tRNA from 1 species
CAGGGAGACAACAAAAUGUUUAAUAUUAUUAUUUUGUCACCUUAGGUCGAUCGGUAUCUCACAUUCUUAAUUUAUUAAGGAUUUCAUUUCCUAAGUUUUUCUAGGUCACACCCAUUAUUUUCCUGGGCCAUUAGCUCAGGUGGUUAGAGCGCACCCCUGAUAAGGGUGAGGUCCCUGGUUCAAGUCCAGGAUGGCCCAUAUCUCUAUGUUGGGGGUAUAGCUCAGCUGGUAGAGCGCCUGCUUUGCAAGCAGGAUGUCAGCGGUUCGAGUCCGCUUACCUCCACUGAUUACCACCUCUUACAUAAUCUGUAGAAAGGGAAUUUUUUGAGUCGUGACCAAAUUCUGAAAGAAUCUAGCUUCCUAAUGAAAUCAUUAAGAUGCUGGACUCAUUGAAUUAAUUUCAUUGUUUUCAGAGAACCUUGACAACUGCAUAGAUUAUUUUUUAAAGACAAUAAGCAUCUUUAAUGAUGCAGAUUUAUUAUUUGUGCGAAUGCAUUAAUAACAAUUCUAUUAAGCUGAUGCUUCAAUUUUUGAAGUUAUU